rnacentral:rRNA from 1 species
UACGUAGGGUGCAAGCGUUGUCCGGAAUUAUUGGGCGUAAAGAGCUCGUAGGCGGUCUGUCGCGUCUGGUGUGAAAAUCAGGGCUUAACCCUGGACCUGCAUCGGGUACGGGCAGACUAGAGUGCGGUAGGGGAGAUGGAAUCCUGGUGUAGCGGUGAAAUGGCGCAGAGUAUCAAGGAGGAACACCGGUGGCGAAGGCGGAUCUCUGGGCCGUAACUGACGCUGAGGAGCGAAAGCAUGGGGAGCGAACAGG